ensembl:rRNA 5S_rRNA 5S ribosomal RNA
GUUUACAGCUAUACCACCCUCAACGAGUCGAAUCUCAUCUGAUCUCGGAAGUGAAGCAGGGCCGGGCCUGGUUAGUACUUGGAUGGGAGAAUGAUUAUUUGGAGGAAGGGUUACGUAGGAU